rnacentral:rRNA from 1 species
AUUGAACGCUGGCGGCAUGCCUUACACAUGCAAGUCGAACGGUAACAGGUCUUCGGAUGCUGACGAGUGGCGAGUGGGUGAGUAAUACAUCGGAACGUGCCUAGUAGUGGGGGAUAACUACUCGAAAGAGUGGCUAAUACCGCAUGAGAUCUACGGAUGAAAGCAGGGGAUCGCAAGACCUUGUGCUACUAGAGCGGCCGAUGGCAGAUUAGGUAGUUGGUGGGAUAAAAGCUUACCAAGCCGACGAUCUGUAGCGGGUCUGAGAGGACGAUCAGCCACACUGGGACUGAGACACGGCCCAGACUCCUACGGGAGGCAGAAGUGGGGAAUUUUGGACAAUGGGCGCAAGCCUGAUCCAGCAAUGCCGCGUGCAGGAUGAAGGCCUUCGGGUUGUAAACUGCUUCUGUACGGAACGAAAAGCCCCGGGUUAAUACCCUGGGGUCAUGACGGUACCGUAAGAAUAAGCACCGGCUAACUACGUGCCAGCCGCCGCAGUAA